UACGUAGGGUGCAAGCGUUAAUCGGAAUACUGGGCGUAAAGCGUGCGCAGGCGGUGAUGUAAGACAGAUGUGAAAUCCCCGGGCUCAACCUGGGAACUGCAUUUGUGACUGCAUCGCUGGAGUGCGGCAGAGGGGAUGGAAUUCCGCGUGUAGCAGUGAAAUGCGUAGAUAUGCGGAGGAACACCGAUGGCGAAGGCAAUCCCCUGGGCCUGCACUGACGCUCAUGCACGAAGCGUGGGGAGCGAAACAAGGAAUUGAGAA
rnacentral:rRNA from 1 species